rnacentral:lncRNA from 1 species
UUGUGGAAAAACACACAAUCAGUUUCAUUAGAAAAGAGAGAGUCAGAUGUUUUUAAAACAGCAACAACAAUAUGCCCUGAAUAGUAGAGAAACAAAAGAGCGAUUGAUCUACAAAGGCAAGACCCAGAUUGAGACCACAGUGAACCCUGCAAAACAGAGGAGCCCCUGGGUGGGAGGGGAUAUAACUGGAACUCUGGGAAUGUAACGGGCAUGGUGUGCUUGUCUGAUGGACAGGGCAGCUUAGGGGAAUAAGUCUCUGCAGCGUUGUAGUGAAGAGAGAAUACGGGACAACUGCAGGACCACAGCUCAGCCAAGACACAACCACAUGACUGAAGACAGAGAUCAUCUGGGUCAGUGUUUCAGAAAAUGUUGCCAAGAAACUUCAAAUGCAGAUUCCUGGACCUCCGUGCAAACUACUAUAUUAGAAGUGAGAGUGGGGGUGAGAUGGAGGAGAGGUGAUAUUGAGAACCUGCAUUUUUUAAAACUUUUAUUUUAGUUUCAGGGGUACAUGUGAAGGUUUGUUAUAUAGGUAAGCUCAUGUCACGUGGGUUUGUUUUACAGAUUACUUCAUCACCCAUAUAUUAAGCCUAGUACCGAAUAGUUCCUUUUUCUGCUCCUCUCCCUCCUUCAACCCUCCAUGCUCAAACAGACCCCAGUGUCUGUUGUUCCCUUUAUGUUCAUGAGUUCUCAUCAUUUAUCUCUCACUUAUAAGUGAGAACAUGUAGUAUUUGGUUUUCUGUUCCUCUGUUACUUUGCUAAGGCAAAUAGCCUCCAGCUCUGUCCAUGUUCCCACAAAAAGACAUGAUCUCGUUGUUGUUUUUUUUAUAGCUGCGUCAUAUUCCAUGGUGUAUAUCUACCACAUUUUCUUUAUCCAAUCUGUCACUGAUGAGCAUUUAGGUUGAUUCUGUAUUUUUGCUGUUGUGAAUCAUGCUUAAAUAGACAUUCGUGACCGGGCGCAGCGGCUCACACCUAUAAUCCCAGCGCUUUGGGAGGCCGAGGCGGGUGGAUCACGAGGUCAAGAAAUUGAGACCAUCCUGGCCAACAUGGUGAAACCCCGUCUCUACUAAAAAUACAAAAGUUAGCUGGGCAUGGUGGUGUGUGCUUGUAGUCCCAGCUACUCGGGAGGCUGAGGCAAGAGAAUUGCUUGAACCCGGGAAGCAGAGGUUGCAGUGAGCCAAGAUCACGCCACUGCACUCCAGCCUGGUGAUGAAGCGAGACUCCAUCUCAAAAAGAAAAAAAACAAAACAAAAACAUUCGUGUGCAUGUGUCUUUAUGGUAGAAUGAUUUUAACCCUUCGAGAAAUCACCAUACUGCUUUCCACAAUGGUUAAACUAACUUACAUUCCCACCAACAAUGUACAAGUGUUUCCUUUCCUCUGUAACCUUGUCAGCAACAGUUACUUUUUGACUUUUUAUCAACAGCCAUUCUGACUUGUGUGAGGUGGUUUUGAUUUGCAUUUCUCUAAUGUCAGUGAUAUUGAGCCUUUUUUCAAUGCUUGUUGACCACAUGUAUGUCUUUUAUUAAAAAAAAAAGUGACUGUUCAUGUCCUUUGCCCACUUUUUAAUGGGGUUGUUUUUCUUUGGUAAAUUUGUCUUAGUUCCUUAUAGAUGCUGGAUAUUAGACCUUUGUCAGGUG